AGAUUGAACGCUGGCGGCAUGCUUUACACAUGCAAGUCGAACGGUAACAGGCCGCAAGGUGCUGACGAGUGGCGAACGGGUGAGUAAUGUAUCGGAACGUGCCCAGUCGUGGGGGAUAACGCAGCGAAAGCUGCGCUAAUACCGCAUACGAUCUAUGGAUGAAAGCGGGGGACCGUAAGGCCUCGCGCGAUUGGAGCGGCCGAUAUCAGAUUAGGUAGUUGGGUGGGGUAAAGGCUCACCAAGCCAACGAUCUGUAGCUGGUCUGAGAGGACGACCAGCCACACUGGGACUGAGACACGGCCCAGACUCCUACGGGAGGCAG
rnacentral:rRNA from 1 species